UACGUAGGGAGCGAGCGUUGUCCGGAUUCAUUGGGCGUAAAGCGCUUUAAGGCGGUUCGGUAAGUCGGGUGUGAAACCUCCAGGCUCAACCUGGAGACGCCACUCGAUACUGCUGUGACUAGAGUUCGGUAGGGGAUCACGGAAUUCCUGGUGUAGCGGUGAAAUGCGCAGAUAUCAGGAGGAACACCGGUGGCGAAGGCGGGUCUCUGGGCCGAUACUGACGCUGAGGAGCGAAAGCGUGGGGAGCGAACAGG
rnacentral:rRNA from 1 species